UACAGAGGGUGCAAGCGUUAAUCGGAGUUACUGGGCGUAAAGGGUGCGUAGGCGGAUAUUCAAGUCAGUUGUGAAAGCCCCGGGCUUAACCUGGGAACUGCAGUUGAUACUGAAUAUCUUGAGUAUGGUAGAGGAGAGUGGAAUUUCCAGUGUAGCGGUGGAAUGCGUAGAUAUUGGAAAGAACACCAGUGGCGAAGGCGGCUCUCUGGACCUAUACUGACGCUGAGGCACGAGAGCGUGGGGAGCAAAC
rnacentral:rRNA from 1 species